ensembl:rRNA 5S_rRNA 5S ribosomal RNA
GCUAGCAGCCAUAUCACCCUGCAACUCACAACUGGUAACCCACUGCUGCUAAGCAGGUGUGAGCCUGGUCAGUACCUGGAUGGGAGACCUCCUGGGGAAAACUAAGGUUGCCGCUGGAA